rnacentral:rRNA from 1 species
GACAGAGGGGGCAAGCGUUGCUCGGAAUCACUGGGCGUAAAGGGCGCGUAGGCGGGAGGACAAGUCGGUCGUGAAAUCCCUGGGCUCAACUCAGGGGGGUCGGCCGAUACUGCCAUUCUUGAGGGAUGCAGAGGAGACUGGAAUUCCCGGUGUAGCGGUGAAAUGCGCAGAUAUCAGGAAGAACACCAAUGGCGAAGGCAGCUCUCUGGGACGGUACUGACGCUGAGACGCGAAAGCGUGGGGAGCGAACAGG